CCCUACGGGAGGCAGCAGUAGGGAAUUUUCGUCAAUGGGCGCAAGCCUGAACGAGCGAUGCCGCGUGAGUGAAGAAGGCCUUCGGGUCGUAAAGCUCUGUUGCGGGGGAAAAAAGGCAGCAUCAGGAAAUGGGUGCUGACUGAUGGUGCCCCGCCAGAAAGUCACGGCUAACUACGUGCCAGCAGCCGCGGUAAUACGUAGGUGGCGAGCGUUAUCCGGAAUGAUUGGGCGUAAAGGGUGCGCAGGCGGCAUGUCAAGUCUGAAGUGAAAGGUACGGGCUUAACCUGUACAGGCUUUGGAAACUG
rnacentral:rRNA from 1 species